AGUGUCUUUAUGCAAAUGUCCUCCUCUGUUACAGAUUUAAGCAACAAAGUCCAAGAGCUUUUACUUCUUCUGCUCCAACACACACCAUGAUCUCUACAUCCCUACUGCUGCUGCUGCUGGCAGCCGUACACUGUGUUCACAGUGUUGAGCUGAUCCAGACCGGAUCCACAGUAUUAACUCCUGGUCAGUCACUGACUCUGACCUGUAAAGUGUCUGGAUAUUCAGUAACUGAUAGCAGCUACUGUACGAACUGGAUACGACAACCUGCAGGAAAAACUCUGGAAUGGAUCGGAGAGAUAUGUGGGGAUGGUAACACUUACUACAGUGAGAAACUGAAAAGCAGGUUUCAGGUUUCCAGAGACACGUCCAGCAGCACAGUGACAUUAACAGGACAGAACAUGCAGACUGAAGACACAGCUGUGUAUUACUGCGCUCGUUACCCCACAGUGAGAGGAAUAAACAACAUCCCUGUACAAAAACUCCAAGUACACUGAAAUAAAAUUCUCAUCCACCUGCAUCUGAUGAGAUUUCCCCGACCACCACACACAUCAUUUUUUA